rnacentral:RNase_P_RNA from 1 species
UAUCUGAGAUGAUAGUAGUGUUCAUGUUGGAUCUAAUAAAUCCAAGCCUAGACGACAAGUGCCACAGAGACGAAUUUAUUAAAUUAAAGUGAAACGCGGUAAACUCCAUGAGCU